rnacentral:rRNA from 1 species
GAUGAACGCUGGCGGCGUGCCUAAUACAUGCAAGUCGAGCGAACGGACGAGAAGCUUGCUUCUCUGAUGUUAGCGGCGGACGGGUGAGUAACACGUGGAUAACCUACCUAUAAGACUGGGAUAACUUCGGGAAACCGGAGCUAAUACCGGAUAAUAUUUUGAACCGCAUGGUUCAAAAGUGAAAGACGGUCUUGCUGUCACUUAUAGAUGGAUCCGCGCUGCAUUAGCUAGUUGGUAAGGUAACGGCUUACCAAGGCAACGAUGCAUAGCCGACCUGAGAGGGUGAUCGGCCACCCUGGAACUGAGACACGGUCCAGACUCCUACGGGAGGCAGCAGUAGGGAAUCUUCCGCAAUGGGCGAAAGCCUGACGGAGCAGCGCCGCGUGAGUGAUGAAGGUCUUCGGAUCGUAGAACUCUGUUAUUAGGGAAGAACAUAUGUGUAAGUAACUGUGCACAUCUUGACGGUACCUAAUCAGAAAGCCACGGCUAACUACGUG